UACGUAGGGUCCAAGCGUUGUCCGGAUUUAUUGGGCGUAAAGAGCUCGUAGGCGGUUCGGUAAGUCGGAUGUGAAAACUCAGGGCUCAACCCGGAGACGCCAUCCGAUACUGCCGUGACUUGAGUCUGGUAGGGGAUCACGGAAUACCUGGUGUAGCGGUGAAAUGCGCAGAUAUCAGGAGGAACACCGGUGGCGAAGGCGGGUCUCUGGGCCGAUACUGACGCUGAGGAUCGAAAGCGUGGGGAGCGAACAGG
rnacentral:rRNA from 1 species